AGUGAACGCUGGCGGUAGGCCUAACACAUGCAAGUCGAACGGCAGCACAGUAAAAGCUUGCUCUUACGGGUGGCGAGUGGCGGACGUGUGAGGAAUACAUCGGAAUCUACUUUUUCGUGGGGGAUAACGUAGGGAAACUUACGCUAAUACCGCAUACGACCUACGGGUGAAAGCAGGGGAUCUUCGGACCUUGCGCGAUUGAAUGAGCCGAUGUCGGAUUAGCUAGUUGGCGGGGUAAAGGCCCACCAAGGCGACGAUCCGUAGCUGGUCUGAGAGGAUGAUCAGCCACACUGGAACUGAGACACGGUCCAGACUCCUACGGGAGGCAGCAGUGGGGAAUAUUGGACAAUGGGCGCAAGCCUGAUCCAGCCAUACCGCGUGGGUGAAGAAGGCCUUCGGGUUGUAAAGCCCUUUUGUUGGGAAAGAAAAGCAGCAGGUUAAUACCCCGCUGUUCUGACGGUACCCAAAGAAUAAGCACCGGCUAACUUCGUG
rnacentral:rRNA from 1 species